AAUAUUGGACAAUGGGCGAAAGCCUGAUCCAGCCAUGCCGCGUGUGUGAAGAAGGUCUUCGGAUUGUAAAGCCCUCUAAUUUGGGGGGAAGGGCAGUUAGUUAUUACCUUUCUGUUUUGACGUUCCCGCCACAAUAAGCACCGCCUAGCUUCGUGCCAGCAGCCGCGGUAAUACGAAGGUUGCAAGCGUUAAGCGGAAUUACUGGGCGUAACGCGCGCGUAGGUGGUGGUGUAAGUUGGAAGUGAAAGCCACGGGCUCAACUUGGGAACUGCAUUCAAAACUGGCAAGCUAGAGUAUGGGAGAGGGUGGUGGAAUUUCCUGUGUAGCGGUGAAAUGCGUAGAUAUAAGAAGGAACACCAGUGGCGAAGGCGACCACCUGGGCUAAUACUGACACUGAGGUGCGAAAGCGUGGGGAGCAAACA
rnacentral:rRNA from 1 species